rnacentral:rRNA from 1 species
UUUGAUCCUGGCUCAGGAUGAACGCUAGCGGCAGGCCUAACACAUGCAAGUCGAACGGUAAAUGUAUAGUAGCGAUACGAUGGCGAGUGGCGCACGGGUGAGUAACGCGUAUGCAACCUACCUCUUACUGGGGGAUAGCCCGUCGAAAGACGGAUUAAUACCCCAUAACAAUAUUGAUUGGCAUCAAUUAAUAUUUAAAACUCCGGUGGUAAGAGAUGGGCAUGCGUAUCAUUAGCUAGUUGGUAAGGUAACGGCUUACCAAGGCAACGAUGAUUAGGGGUUCUGAGAGGAUGAUCCCCCACACUGGAACUGAGACACGGUCCAGACUCCUACGGGAGGCAGCAGUGAGGAAUAUUGGUCAAUGGACGCAAGUCUGAACCAGCCAUGCCGCGUGAAGGAUGACUGCCGUAUGGGUUGUAAAUUUCUUUUGUAUGGGACGAAACUAUGUUACGUGUAAUGUACUGACGGUACCAUACGAAUAAGCAACGGCUAACUCCGUGCCAGCAGCCGCGGUAAUACGGAGGUUGCAAGCGUUAUCCGGAUUUAUUGGGUUUAAAGGGUGCGUAGGCGGGAAAAUAAGUCAGUGGUGAAAACCUGCAGCUUAACUGUAGAACUGCCAUUGAUACUGUUUUUCUUGAGUAAUGUUGAGGUGGGCGGAAUGUGUAGUGUAGCGGUGAAAUGCUUAGAUAUUACACAGAACACCGAUUGCGUAGGCAGCUCACUAAACUACAACUGACGCUGAGGCACGAAAGCGUGGGGAUCAAACAGGAUUAGAUACCCUGGUAGUCCACGCUGUAAACGAUGAUUACUCGGUGUGUGCAAUAUAUCGUACGCGACUAAGCGAAAGCAUUAAGUAAUCCACCUGGGGAGUACGUCGGCAACGAUGAAACUCAAAGGAAUUGACGGGGGCCCGCACAAGCGGAGGAACAUGUGGUUUAAUUCGAUGAUACGCGAGGAACCUUACCUGGGUUUGAACGUAGAGUGACGGUAUCGGGAACGGUACUUCCCUUCGGGGCA